AACGAACGCUGGCGGCAUGCCUAACACAUGCAAGUCGAACGAGACCUUCGGGUCUAGUGGCGCACGGGUGCGUACCGCGUGGGAACCUGCCCUUAGGUUCGGAAUAACUCCCCGAAAGGGGUGCUAAUACCGGAUAAUGUCUUCGGACCAAAGAUUUAUCGCCUUUGGAUGGGCCCGCGUUGGAUUAGCUAGUUGGUAGGGUAAAAGCCUACCAAGGCGACGAUCCAUAGCUGGUCUGAGAGGAUGAUCCGCCACACUGGGACUGAGACACGGCCCAGACUCCUACGGGAGGCAGCAGUAAGGAAUAUUGGACAAGGGGCGCAAGCCUGACCCAGCAAUGCCGCGGGAGUGAUGCAGGCCUUAGGGUUGUAAAGCUCUUUGACCCGGGAUGAUAAUGACAGAACCGGGUGAAUAAGCACCGGCUAACUCCGUG
rnacentral:rRNA from 1 species